GGCAAGGCCGGCAUGCCAAUCACCCAUCGGGAGACCGCAGCCCUAUCCAGCUGGUCUCACUCAGCCAGAGCAGAGCAGAGCAGCGCAGAUGGCAGAGACCUGCUGCCUCAGGGUAAAGCAAAACGUAGAGGGCUGCUGCUCCAAGGGCUGCAGUGGAGAAUGCAGGUGAUCACACGCUGAGUACGCACAUGGCUUUUCUUUCUGCUGGCCUUGAAUUUGAUUAUUUAGCAGAGGAUAAUCUGGAACUCCUGAUCCUUCUAUCUCCACCUUCAAGUCCCAAGUACUGGCCAGCUACCAUUUGCCGAGCACCUCAUCC
rnacentral:lncRNA from 1 species